CUCAGAAUAAAUAAUCCUCACUAAUGUGUUUUGGAGCUCACAGGGAGGGGCGCUCUGGAGCGGUGACGCAUGCGUAAUGAAGCAGACGUUGGAGAAUAAAUACAUUCAAUUUGCCAAUUUGAGAUCUGUCAGACUCAGGUUUAUUUUUAUUGUCCAAAUUUACUGCCGCAUCAAUGUCCCACUUUGGCCUACUUAGAAAUAAAGUCAAACUAAUCCGCUUUAAUUCCCGCGAAAUUGCCGCUGGAUUCGAAAUGAUUAUUAACGGCCGUUUGUCGGAUAUAUCGGCUAUUUGUUUGACAACUGGUCAGUAACAUCGAAAUACAAGAAUCAGUGAUUGUAACAGUGAUAAUGAGCCCCUCUUCAGGGGAAACAUCCACUCUCUGGUAGAUAUUUUUCCACCAGAUAAUUUGGCACUAAAUCAUGAACAGCAUGGACUGAUGAUCUCGAGGCUCUCAUUAUCCAGAGUCCAAGGAGAGACAGAGGAGUCCAGGCUCCUCCUGGAGACCGACAGACACGAAGUGUGAGAGGAAUUAAAGUUAGACAUGAGGCCGCUGUCUGUUCAUCUGGGAGGGUCACGGUACCACAUUAUCAUGGACCACGAGAGGAGCCCAAACCCAGACCGUAGGCAGCAGGAGGGCACUGCCCAAAACAGUGGUUUGGUCCAGAGGAAUAACAAGCAUCAACAGUGAAUCCCCGUGAGCCCUCCCUUUAGAAACCUCCCCGGCUCUUGGUGGGGCCUUAUGGAGCCCAGAACACAUCCACACAGUCCAGAUGUUCAAAUCCUUAUUUUAAGAGAGUGGAUAUAAAAGCAGCCUACAUACAAUACAGCUGUACAAGCCAAACUCCGUGGGGAUAGCUGGGGUCAUCCUCCCAACGGAUGCUUUGGCUCAUCCUGCUACUGGUGCCCUGAGGGCCUGGGCACAGAGCGUGACCCUCCAGAAGCCACCCAGACACUGACUAUAAUAAAUAUGUAUGGAUUUCUACUCAUCUAUUUUAACUUUUACUAGACUUCUGUAUUGGGGAUAAAUAUUGCAACAACAUGUGCAUGCUUAAAAAUAAAGUCAAAAUAAAU